AUUGAACGCUGGCGGAAUGCUUUACACAUGCAAGUCGAACGGUAGAGGGGGCAACCCCUUGAGAGUGGCGAACGGGUGAGUAAUAUAUCGGAACGUGCCCAGUCGUGGGGAUAACGUAGCGAAAGUUACGCUAAUACCGCAUACGAUCUAAGGAUGAAAGCGGGGGACUCGGCAAGAGCCUCGCGCGAUUGGAGCGGCCGAUAUCAGAUUAGGUAGUUGGUGGGGUAAAGGCUCACCAAGCCAACGAUCUGUAGCUGGUCUGAGAGGACGACCAGCCACACUGGGACUGAGACACGGCCCAGACUCCUACGGGAGGCAGCAGUGGGGAAUUUUGGACAAUGGGCGCAAGCCUGAUCCAGCAAUGCCGCGUGCAGGAUGAAGGCCU
rnacentral:rRNA from 1 species